GGGGAGCAAACAGGAUUAGAUACCCUGGUAGUCCACGCUGUAAACGAUGAUUACUAGGUGUGGGGGGUACUGACCCCUUCCGUGCCGGAGUUAACACAAUAAGUAAUCCACCUGGGGAGUACGGCCGCAAGGUUGAAACUCAAAGGAAUUGACGGGGGCCCGCACAAGCAGUGGAGUAUGUGGUUUAAUUCGAAGCAACGCGAAGAACCUUACCAGGGCUUGACAUGGGGAUGACCGCUCUAGAGAUAGAGUUUACUCUUCGGAGACAUCCCACACAGGUGGUGCAUGGUUGUCGUCAGCUCGUGUCGUGAGAUGUUGGGUUAAGUCCCGCAACGAGCGCAACCCUUAUUGUUAGUUGCUACGCAAGAGCACUCUAGCGAGACUGCCGUUGACAAAACGGAGGAAGGUGGGGACGACGUCAAAUCAUCAUGCCCUUUAUGUCCUGGGCUACACACGUACUACAAUGGCGGACAUACAGAGGGAAGCAAGACAGCGAUGUGGAGCAAAUCCCUAAAAGCCGUCUCAGUUCAGAUUGCAGGCUGCAACCCGCCUGCAUGAAGUCGGAAUUGCUAGUAAUCGCG
rnacentral:rRNA from 1 species